GUCUUAUUGAAAAUAAUUUUAAGUCAAUCUGCCCAAUGAGUGAUUAAAUGGCUGCAGUAUAAUUGACUGUACAAAGGUAGCAUAAUCAGUUGGUUUUUAAUUGAAAUCUGGAAUGAAAGGAUUAAUGAAAUAUAUACUGUCUCAUAUUUAUUUUAUGAAUUUAAAAUUUUAAUUAAAAUGUUAAAAUUUUUUUAUGGGACGAUAAGACCCUAUAGAAUUUUAUAUUAAAUUAUUUUUGUACUAAAUAUGGAAUUUAAUUUAAUAUUUAGUUGGGAGAAUUAUUAAAUUUAAUAAAUUUUAAUUUGUGAAACCUUAAAUUAAAGAAAAAAAAAUGAUCUUAAAUUUUAAAUCAUUAGAAUAAAUUACCUUAGGGAUAACAGCGUUAUAUUUUUUUAUAGAUCAUAUAGAAAAAAAUGAUUGCGACCUCGAUGUUGAAUUAAGAUAAAUUUUAAAUGCAGAAGUUUAAUGAUUAAGUCUGUUCGACUUUUAAUAUCUUACAUGAUUUGAGUUCAAAUCGACGUAAGU
rnacentral:rRNA from 1 species